UAAUACGUAGGUGGCAAGCGUUGUCCGGAUUUACUGGGCGUAAAGCGUAUGCAGGCGGAUGGUUAAGUAGGAAGUGAAAGGUUGGAGCUCAACUCUAACACUGCUCCCUAUACUGGCCGUCUUGAGUGCCGGAGAGGACUAGGGAACUUCACGUGUAGCGGUGAAAUGCGUUGAGAUGUGAAGGAACACCAAUGGCGAAAGCACUGGUCUGGACGGAGACUGACGCUGAGAUACGAAAGCCAAGGGAGCGAACAGGAUUAGAUACCCUGGUAGUCUUGGCCAUAAACGAUGUUCACUAGGUGUCGGGGCUUACGCCUCGGUGCCGCAGCUAACGCAUUAAGUGAACCGCCUGGGGACUACGGCCGCAAGGUUG
rnacentral:rRNA from 1 species